ensembl:lncRNA glutamate rich 1
AUUUGAACGCAGGUUGGCGCUGUGGGACCAAUGACUAGCUGGUGAUGUCCUAGCUAGCAUUAGCCCUAGCUUAGCAUUGGCUAAGCCGUAGCUUUAGUUGAAGGCUAGUAAACACAGAAUUAUAGACGUAGCUAAAUGUUUAUGUGAGUAGUAGUUUUAUCUCUCUACCUCUAUCAUUGUAAGAUAUUUGUCUGUCUCGGUUAUGUGUUUAAACUCUUGAUACAUGCUCACUGUUUUAAAUGUUACAUGGUAUUUAGCCUGUGAAUUAGCUCCCCUAACUCUGCCACCACCUCAGUCAGUGUUUUUUCGGCUUCUGGUUUGUGGAUUAUUAUGAACAUAUGGCACGAAGGAAGGACGUUUUUCACUCAAAAGUCCUGCAAAAGCUUUACCCUCCACCUCCCAAAGAGGAAACAUCUCACAUCCCUCAGUGCUUCACGGACAGUUCUACUAAAAAGACUCAUGAGAAGAGAAAAGUGAAACAACAGAGCGGAGCCAAUCAGAGCAGACGGAUGUACACAGUUCUACCUCCACCUCCAGGCUUUGAUUUACAUUCACAGGAAUCAGCUACACCUUUUGGAACACAAAGUAGAAACAGUGCAGAGGACCCAGUUGAGGACAUUGUUUAUGAGGCCACUGAAGAUGCACAUGAUGAGGAAGAGGAUGAAGAGCAAAUAGGAAGGAAGAGGAAAAGAAGGAAGAGAAAAGCAGCCAACCACCCACACUCUGAGAAGGACACACCCCUUUCUACAGUUCACGGCCAGACGGCCGGGGUUGAGGGAGGAGAGUCCUUAAUCAGCAAAAACAAAAAGAGAAAGCUGAAGAAAAAACGGCACAAAGAGAAGCUUCUGUCCAUGGGUUUGAUGCCCCGGGCUAAUGCGCUGGAGUUCACCUACCAGAAGGAUGUUCAGGGCCACGAAGAGCAGGUGGAGGAAGAGCAGGAGGAGGAUGGGAAAAGUGCUGCUGAAGUGACAGACUUCCUGAGAAGAACGCUGGAAAUGUGUAAAUCCGAUUCCAAGGCCUCCCACCUGUCUGCACCUUUGGAUGACCUUCUGCAAAGCAUCGUCAGCAGAUCUCGACCCGAGCGUGUCCUCGGCCUGCUGCACAGCCUCAAGGCUUUUGUUCAAGGCAAUGAAAGAGACAAAUUAGAAGAAGCGCUAAAAGAACUCCACAACAAUUGUGAUUUGUCUGCAGGGGAAACAUCUGCAAUCAUUUCUCUCUUCCAGUACUGGAUCACAGACAUUCUCCCGCUGCCAGCAGAUGAGAAGACACGGCUCUCCAGCACACACCACCACUGACUGUCAGUCACUGAGAAACAAAGGCACUGAUGCAGGACUAUUCCCUCAAUGUCACGUCACUUACAUUACAUUUAAUGGUUCUGACUUUACAUGUGAAUAUUUAAAUGGUAUUAAACAGUUUCUAUUUUUCUGUGAGCAGUCUUAUGUCUAGGGCUGUAGUCAACCAAGGAAAUGGUUGGUCGACCAAGACUAUGGCGCACGUAGCGAUUAGUCGACCAAAAAAAAAACCACAGAAUGAAUGUGCAGGUGCAGAGGAGGACGAGGAGAAAGAAAAAGAGACAAAUAUUUUUUUUUGGUGUUUUGUGGUGCUGAUUUGCUUUUUAACACAAACCAUUUGAUAUGAACCUUAUUCAAGCUUUGACCAGAACCCGACAAAGCAAAAGUGAAACCUACAGGUCCGACAGUAGGUAAUUAUAUCCGUGCCCGACCUGAAACCGAC